rnacentral:rRNA from 1 species
UACGAAGGGGGCUAGCGUUGUUCGGAAUCACUGGGCGUAAAGCGCACGUAGGCGGAUCUUUAAGUCAGGGGUGAAAUCCCAGAGCUCAACUCUGGAACUGCCUUUGAUACUGGGGAUCUCGAGUUCGGGAGAGGUGAGUGGAACUGCGAGUGUAGAGGUGAAAUUCGUAGAUAUUCGCAAGAACACCGGUGGCGAAGGCGGCUCACUGGCCCGAUACUGACGCUGAGGUGCGAAAGCGUGGGGAGCAAACAGG